rnacentral:rRNA from 1 species
GAUCAUGGCUCAGGAUGAACGCUGGCGGCGUGCCUAACACAUGCAAGUCGAGCGAGAAACUUUAAAUGAAGCUCGGUCGAAUUUAAAAGCGGAAAGCGGCGGACGGGUGAGUAACGCGUAGGCAACCUGCCCUUUGCAGAGGGGUAGCAUCUGGAAACGGAUAUUAAUACCUCAUAAUACUAAACUAUCACAUGAUAGAGUAGUCAAAAGAUUUAUCGGCAAAGGAUGGGCCUGCGU